UGACGGUAACCAAGGAGGAAGCCCCGGCUAACUACGUGCCAGCAGCCGCGGUAAUACGUAGGGGGCGAGCGUUGUCCGGAAUUACUGGGCGUAAAGGGUGCGUAGGCGGCAAUUUAAGUUGGAUGUGAAAUACCCGGGCUUAACCUGGGAACUGCAUCUGAUACUGGCAAGCUUGAGUCUCGUAGAGGGGGGUAGAAUUCCAGGUGUAGCGGUGAAAUGCGUAGAGAUCUGGAGGAAUACCGGUGGCGAAGGCGGCCCCCUGGACGAAGACUGACGCUCAGGUGCGAAAGCGUGGGGAGCAAACAGGAUUAGAUACCCUGGUAGUCCACGCCGUAAACGAUGUCGACUUGGAGGUUGUGCCCUUGAGGGCGUGGGCUUCCGGAGCUAACGCGUUAAGUCGACCGCCUGGGGAGUACGGCCGCAAGGUUAAAACUCAAAUGAAUUGACGGGGGCCCGCACAAGCGGUGGAGCAUGUGGUUUUAAUUCGAUGCAACGCGAAGAACCUUACCUGGUCUUGACAUCCACGGAAGUUUUCAGAGAUGAGAAUGUGCCUUCAGGAACCGUGAGACAGGUGCUGCAUGGCUGUCGUCAGCUCGUGUUGUGAAAUGUUGGGUUAAGUCCCGCAACGAGCGCAACCCUUAUCCUUUGUUGCCAGCGGUCCGGCCGGGAACUCAAAGGAGACUGCCAGUGAUAAACUGGAGGAAGGUGGGGAUGACGUCAAGUCAUCAUGGCCCUUACGACCAGGGCUACACACGUGCUACAAUGGCGCAUACAAAGAGAAGCGAUCUCGCGAGAGCAAGCGGACCUCAUAAAGUGCGUCGUAGUCCGGAUUGGAGUCUGCAACUCGACUCCAUGAAGUCGGAAUCGCUAGUAAUCGUGGAUCAGAAUGCCACGGUGAAUACGUUCCCGGGCCUUGCACUCACCGCCCGUCA
rnacentral:rRNA from 1 species